UAGGGUACCUCCUGGAAGACCAGGGGCGUGGCCUGCUCCCACACGCGGAAGGCCCGACGCACCGCCUCCAGCGAGUGGUACCAGCCCAGCUUCUCCGUGUAGUUCUGGAUGCUGCAGAUUUCCACUGCCUUGAAGAGUACAGACUAAAGGCAACUCUGCCUCACACUUGACCCAAACAAAACUGUGAUGCCUAUAAAAGGUACAUAUUCUGAUUUUUUCUUUCUUACAUAAUUUUAUUCUGAGAACAUGUAAAUGUUAAACAUUAACAAGCAUCACACACACACACACACACACACACAGCAUGAUGAAGCCUGUUAUCUCCCACAUAAAGCAGAUUGAGUCCAUGUGCUGGACAGAUCUCCAUCAAAGAUCAUGAAUCAACUCAUGGAUCAUGAAUUCACUCUCGCAGCCUGGGUCUAUGUGACGCUGUGGGCUGCUCUUCCUCAGGAGAUGGAGCUGCGGGUGGGGUCAUGGCUGGAUUGGAACAGGAAGGGGGAACCCUUGGGGCCUGCCACAGAGCUCAAGGCUCAGGGGAGUUUCUUGCCAAAGGACUCAGUGGAAAGGAGGAGGGUGCUUGAACCAGGGUCUGCGCAGGUGACUUGCUGCUUGCCUGCUUGCAUCUGCCUGGAUUCAGGCAUCCCAGUCCUCCCUUACCCUUCAGACGCCUGAAGCCCCCAGUUUGCACUGGUGCAGGAGCCCAUCUGGGCAGGUGAGGCCAGCCCUAGGUUGCUGGCGGGUCAGGGGAUGGAGGGAAGGAGGACAGAGCAGAAGCAGUUCAAAGGUCCUGCCCUUCUCUGGAGGGAGACUGCCUGGGGUGGGUGGGUGAGUGGGGUGACCGAUCUAAUCAGCAUGGGAGCGGGAUUGGCAAGAUUGGACGGCUAGGCCGGACACCCUGCAGUGGGCUGCUGGGAAAGGAAGCCUUCCAGAGGAGCCCACUGGGAAGCCUGAGGCCUCAGGCCAGGCAGAGAGGGGCCAGCUGCUUCUGGAGGGUACCCUGGGGGACGCCACCCUGGGCAGCCAGGGUCCCUACCUGAAGGUAAGGUGGUGGUUGUUCCACUUCCUCCCGGUGAGGGCGUAGCGCUUCCGCCGCCGCAGAUUGGCUUUCACGCGUACCCCGAACUGGUCUGGUACUCCACAGCGGGGCCGCUUCAUCCACCUAGGUGCACAGAGCCUCCCCUCAACACGCCUGCCUGCUGGGCUCUGCCUCUUCCAGGCAGUCCACCGUCUCCCACCCUCCCCCCACUGGCCUCCAGCUGCCCCUUAUAUGGGUGUGGAGGGGGUGAGGGACUCUCUCAGCUUCGAGAUCCUCAUCAGGAAAACGGUACAGUGACCUUGUACUGGAAGACUGGGUGCCCAGCAGUGGCUCUGCAAAGGUGAGCCCCUUUUCAGCACUAUCACCCAGGAAUGGGAGGAGAGUUACCCUGAGGCUUCUUAUCCCUGAUACCUUAUGCUCUGUGUGUGCUCAUCAAGGAUGUGGCUUUGGGUCACAUCACCUCUGCCAGAUUCAGAGCAAGGCCUAGCUAGGCAACCACAUGUGUGCAUGUGUGCUGCACCUCCCCAUUCCCAUGCCUGUGGCAGACAUCACUAAUCAAUCCUAUGCUCCUUGCUGCUGAACUGGGCUUUGGCCUCAGGAGCUUGUUCAACACUAGGCAGCAGGCAGCCAUUCCCAACCAAUCAGAGCUAGCACGGAGGAUCAAGCCAUAUGCCAUCUCUUAUCUAGGCCACUCUUUUCUGGAAACUCCACAUGCCAAGCCUUCAUCAGAGCAGGCCAGAAGGAGGGCAGGUGCCAGUGGGGUCUGGGAAUGGCCCGACCGAGGGACUCACGCCUUGGUCUCUUCGUCCAGCACACCCGUGAUGGGGAUCCCGUAGAAGCGCUGCAUCUCGGCGAGGGCCGAGGCCAGGAUCUGGGCGGAGCGCAUGGUGGACAUGUGGCGGCUGGGCUGGGGCAGGUAGCCAUAGAGCCGCAGCCAGUUCUGCAAAGGAGAGGCCAUGACCUGGUCAGCAGGUUCUGGCACCACUACCUCCAAACAUGCAUGGCCUGCAUCCCACCACCUCUCACCUCCACCACCAUCACCUCCCGUCACCACCUCCCUCCAGGUGACCAUGUGAGCUUCUGUACGCUCUCCGUGCUUCCACUUCCUACGGUCUGUUCUCACACAAGAGCCGGAACAAAAGGCCUUUACAAGUCAGGUCUGGUCAGUCUUCUGUCUAGAACCCUCCAAAGUCUUCCCAUCUCAGAGGAAAAGCCAAUUCUCACAGGAACUACCUGUGAGGCCUCAGGGCCUUUGCACUUGCUCUUCUUGCUGCCUGGAGUGUUCUCCCCACAGAAAUCCGCAUGGCUCAUGCCCUCAUUCUCUUCAGAUGUCUGCUUCAUCACCUUAUUGGAGGAGUGUUCUCUGACAAAUGUAAAAAAGACACCCAUCCGCUGUACCCUGUACUCCCUCUCUUGCUUCCCUGCACUUGUCACCAUCUGACACCCUGUAUGUUUCACUUAGGUGUUUAUUAUUUGCCUUCCUCCAUCAGGACAGAAGCUGUGUCUCUGAGGACAGUCCACAGUUGCCGUCCUUAUUACUGUGCCGGCCCCUCCAGGGUGGGGCCUUCUACCAUUCCAGGCAGACCACUGGGGACCCUACAGGGUUCAGAAGCUCUUGAAUUCUCACCAAGUAGGAAAACCCGCCCCUUGGUGCUGCUCCCCAACAGACCCUGAACCUUCCAGAGGGAAAGCAGCCAGCCAUCCUGCCAAGUGUUUCUGAGCACCCUGUCUGUGCCAGGCGCCAUGCCAGCUGGAGGCCGUGGAGGAGGCGGCUGAAGUGUCCUGACCUCCAG